rnacentral:rRNA from 1 species
UACGGGGGGGGCAAGCGUUGUUCGGAAUUACUGGGCGUAAAGGGCUUGUAGGUGGCCAACUAAGUCAGACGUGAAAUCCCUCGGCUUAACCGGGGAACUGCGUCUGAUACUGGAUGGCUUGAGUGUGGGAGAGGGAUGCGGAAUUCCAGGUGUAGCGGUGAAAUGCGUAGAUAUCUGGAGGAACACCGGUGGCGAAGGCGGCAUCCUGGACCAUUACUGACACUAGAAAGCGAAAGCCAGGGGAGCAAACGGG